GGGAAACAUAGCAGUGACCACUGAUGGAGCAUCUGCUGCGUGUGUCAGCUGUUGCACUAAGUUCCUUCUAAACCUUGUCUUAACUGAAAUCUCACGGCAAUCCUGUAAGAUGCCUCCUGUUACCUCUGAUUUGAAAAUUAGGAAACUGAGACUCAAAGAAGUAAAAUCGAUUGCUGAAAAAUCACAGAAUUGUUUGACUGCAAACCCAUGUGUGUUCUGCAACUACAGCACAUCAGCCUAAUUUUGUGCCUGUGCAAACACUGAGGAGGUGUCAGGGGUGCCCUGCUUUCACAAUACAUUGUAAUUGCAGUGGGCAAGUCUAAAUUACUCUUCGGAACACUUACUCUUUCAGUGGACAUGGGCCAAGAGUCAAGAAUUGAUCAACCUUCACUGAAUGUGCUUGCGGAGCCCUCCUAAUGUGGAGCCCAGGGAGGAAUUUAUGUAGGGGCAUAGCCUGGAGCGCCCCCUCCUCACACCAGCAUCAAGAAGGGCAGGUUCCCCUCAGGGUUCUGGAGAGAGAUCAACUGCUUGAUGCUCAAAGAAGAGAAAAGAAGAAACCAUUGACAUUUGCUGUCCAGUUAUCAGAAGUCAGGCCAUGCAUGAAUGCUUCACCUGUAUUAUUCAACUUCUGUCUCACAAUAACCAGAUAUAUAAGCUGCCAGAGCACAUUUCGAGAUUACAAAAAAAACAGAACAAACAAAAACUGUAAAGGUCCUGAAAAGACUCAUCUUCCGAGUAACAACCAGCUGAAGAAAAAUCACCAAGUGACAGACAGUAGACAGAGGUAACAAUAAAGACCACAAGAUGGGGUUAUCA
rnacentral:lncRNA from 1 species